AGCGCAGGCGGUUUGGUCAGUCUAAAGUGGAAGCCCGGGGCUCAACCCCGGAAGGUCUUUGGAUACUACCAAACUAGAGUACGUGAGAGGAGAGCGGAAUUCCAGGUGUAGCGGUGAAAUGCGUAGAUAUCUGGAGGAACACCGGUGGCGAAAGCGGCUCUCUGGCACGAAACUGACGCUGAGGCUCGAAAGCGUGGGGAGCGAACG
rnacentral:rRNA from 1 species